rnacentral:telomerase_RNA from 1 species
UGGGCCGAGAGGGGUGGUGGCCUCUUUUCUUCUAACCCUAAAUACGAAGGGGACGUAGGCGCCGUGCUUUUGUUCCCCGCGCGCUGUUUUUCUCGCUGGCUUUCAGCGUGCGGAAAAGCCUUGGCCUAACGUCGACCACUGUCUAGUUAGAAAAAAACAAAAAAUGUCAGCGUGGCCGGUCCGCCCCUCCCGGGGACCUGCGGCGGCUCGCCCGCCCGGCCCCCGAGCCCUGCCUAGGGCCGCGGCCGGCGCGGGGCUUCUCCGGAGGUGCCCAUGGCCGCCGCGAAGAGUUCGUCUCUGUCAGCCGCGGGUCGCUUGGGGGCCGCGGGCAGGCUCGGGCCAUGUGGCCGCAGGGAGAGAAACGGAGCCGGUCCCCGCGCCCGUGCGCUUCCCUGAGCUGUGGAAAGUGCACCCGGGACUCGGCUCCUACAAGC